GACGUCGAUAUUCGACGUCAUAAACACGAUCAAGUUUGGUGUUUAUGACGUCGAUAUUCCACGUCAUAAACAUCAUCAAGUUUGGCGUUUAUGACGUCGAUAUUCGACGCCAUAAACACCAUCAAGUUUGGUGUUUAUGACGUGGAUAUUCGACGUCAUAAACACCAUCAAGUUUGGUGUUGAUGACGUGGAUAUUCGACGUCAUAAACACCAUCAAGUUUGGUGUUUAUGACGUCGAUAUUCGACGUAAUAAACACCAUCAAGGUUGGUGUUUAUGACGUCGAUAUUCGACGUCAUAAACACGAUCAAAUUUGGUGUUUAUGACGUCGAUAUUCGACGUC
rnacentral:miRNA from 1 species